AUUGAACGCUGGCGGAAUGCUUUACACAUGCAAGUCGAACGAUGAAGCCUAGCUUGCUAGGUGAAUUAGUGGCGGACGGGUGAGUAAUAUAUCGGAACAUGCCCAUUAAUGGGGGAUAACUAAUCGAAAGGUUAGCUAAUACCGCAUAAGAUCUACGGAUUAAAGCUGGGGACCUUCGGGCCUGGCGUUAGUGGAGUGGCCGAUAUCUGAUUAGCUAGAUGGUGGGGUAAAAGCCUACCAUGGCGACGAUCAGUAACUGGUCUGAGAGGACGACCAGUCACACUGGGACUGAGACACGGCCCAGACUCCUACGGGAGGCAGCAGUGGGGAAUUUUGGACAAUGGGGGCAACCCUGAUCCAGCCAUUCCGCGUGAGUGAAGAAGGCCUUCGGGUUGUAAAGCUCUUUCGCAAGAGAAGAAAAGGUAUAGGUUAAUAGCCUAUGCUAAUGACGGUAUCUUGAUAAG
rnacentral:rRNA from 1 species